UCCCUGGUGGUCCAGUGGUUAAGACUCUGUGCUCCUAAUACAGGGGCACAGGUUCAACCCCUGGUCAGGGAA
rnacentral:tRNA from 2 species